UGCCUCAACCCCUCAGGUAGGCAGUGGGAUGAGCUCCUGCUGCUUCAGAUGCAGGGUCCUGAGUGAACCAAGAGAGAAGAGCUUGGGGGCCUGGGAUGGGGUGUGGCAGCCUUCUGUUGGUUAGGAAGUGCUUUCCCUUUCCUGCCCUCCCUGCUCCCUGGGGAAGGACAGAGCUGAGCACAGAGCUCAGCCAUCUGGGUGCAGGGAGUCAAGCCCAGGGUGGAGGUGGGGCCUCCCUAGAUGGCCCAGUGCCAGCCUCCCCAGGCAGAGGCUUUGUCUUUUCCCCAGGCUGCAAUUCCUGCUGUGUAGUCAGCCCUCAGCACUCUGCAGGUGUUAGAGGAUGUCCACAGAGACCCUAGGAGUGAGGAGCCUGUGGGGCUCCUCCACCAGGAGGUGGGGCCUGGGAGCUGGGCCAGCAUGGGUGCCACUCGCCACAUGAAUGUCUGUCCCCCCACAUUCUUCUGUUGAAACCUCAUUACCAAGGAGAUGGCAUUAAGAGGCAAAGCCUUUGGGAGGUGAUCAGGUCGUGAGGGCAGAGUCCUCCUAGUUGGGAUUAGUUCCCUUUUAUAAAAUAGGCUCCAGAAAGCUCCCUGUCCCCUUCCACCAUGUGAGAACAGUGGCAGGACAGCCAUCUACGAACCAGACAGUGAGCCCACAUCAGACACCCGAUAUACCAGUUGAUCUUGGACUUCCAGCCUCCAGAACUCAGUUUUAGGUUCUCAGCAAAAUUGAGUGGGAAGUACAGAGAGUUGCCAUAGACUCCUGCCCUCCAACACACAUGGCCUCCCCGACUCUCAGUAUCCCAACCAGCGUCGACUAUAGUCAACAGCCA